rnacentral:rRNA from 1 species
GAUGAACGCUGGCGGCGUGCCUAAUACAUGCAAGUCGAGCGAACGGACGAGAAGCUUGCUUCUCUGAUGUUAGCGGCGGACGGGUGAGUAACACGUGGAUAACCUACCUAUAAGACUGGGAUAACUUCGGGAAACCGGAGCUAAUACCGGAUAAUAUUUUGAACCGCAUGGUUCAAAAGUGAAAGACGGUCUUGCUGUCACUUAUAGAUGGAUCCGCGCUGCAUUAGCUAGUUGGUAAGGUAACGGCUUACCAAGGCAACGAUGCAUAGCCGACCUGAGAGGGUGAUCGGCCACACUGGAACUGAGACACGGUCCAGACUCCUACGGGAGGCAGCAGUAGGGAAUCUUCCGCAAUGGGCGAAAGCCUGACGGAGCAACGCCGCGUGAGUGAUGAAGGUCUUCGGAUCGUAAAACUCUGUUAUUAGGGAAGAACAUAUGUGUAAGUAACUGUGCACAUCUUGACGGUACCUAACCAGAAAGCCACGGCUAACUACGUGCCAGCAGCCGCGGUAAUACGUAGGUGGCAAGCGUUAUCCGGAAUUAUUGGGCGUAAAGCGCGCGUAGGCGGUUUUUUAAGUCUGAUGUGAAAGCCCACGGCUCAACCGUGGAGGGUCAUUGGAAACUGGAAAACUUGAGUGCAGAAGAGGAAAGUGGAAUUCCAUGUGUAGCGGUGAAAUGCGCAGAGAUAUGGAGGAACACCAGUGGCGAAGGCGACUUUCUGGUCUGUAACUGACGCUGAUGUGCGAAAGCGUGGGGAUCAAACAGGAUUAGAUACCCUGGUAGUCCACGCCGUAAACGAUGAGUGCUAAGUGUUAGGGGGUUUCCGCCCCUUAGUGCUGCAGCUAACGCAUUAAGCACUCCGCCUGGGGAGUACGACCGCAAGGUUGAAACUCAAAGGAAUUGACGGGGACCCGCACAAGCGGUGGAGCAUGUGGUUUAAUUCGAAGCAACGCGAAGAACCUUACCAAAUCUUGACAUCCUUUGACAACUCUAGAGAUAGAGCCUUCCCCUUCGGGGGACAAAGUGACAGGUGGUGCAUGGUUGUCGUCAGCUCGUGUCGUGAGAUGUUGGGUUAAGUCCCGCAACGAGCGCAACCCUUAAGCUUAGUUGCCAUCAUUAAGUUGGGCACUCUAAGUUGACUGCCGGUGACAAACCGGAGGAAGGUGGGGAUGACGUCAAAUCAUCAUGCCCCUUAUGAUUUGGGCUACACACGUGCUACAAUGGACAAUACAAAGGGCAGCGAAACCGCGAGGUCAAGCAAAUCCCAUAAAGUUGUUCUCAGUUCGGAUUGUAGUCUGCAACUCGACUACAUGAAGCUGGAAUCGCUAGUAAUCGUAGAUCCGCAUGCUACGGUGAAUACGUUCCCGGGUCU